GCAGGAGGAGAUGUUGCGCUGCAGUUCGGAGAGAGAUGCAUUAAGGGGCAACGAGCGAGCCCUUGGCAUUCCCAGACAUCCCUGCAUCAGCAGAAAUCUGCCACAAGACGAGAUGACGGGCAGGAUGUGCUCCGGCGCAGGACGGACUUGAACCGAAUCAAACUGCAGGAAGCACCAACAUCUGCUUUAACCAUGGCUUCACUGAGGUUGCUUGACCCAAAAACUGACCUGACCACAUAGAAAAUGUACAGAGAAGACGAGAGACACCAGAGCCAACGAUAAAGACAAACUGAAGUCUUUAUCAGCUGGGCUUCCUGAACGUGUCAGCAGAGCCACAGACUGACCACCUCCACGUUGCACUGCAUCGAAACAGGUGGUCAUGCUUAUCAGCAGGCUGAUAUUUCAGUAUUAAUAAUGUUUUUAUUUUUGCUAUGUAAUGUAUUUGGGCUAUGUGAUAUUCUUAUUUGCUGAGAAAGCCACUUUGGGAGGUUUUGUAAAUUAUAAGUCAUAAUUAUCAGAAUGAAGAGAAAUUUGUCGCUUCUUGUAAUUAAUCAAUGUGAGUUUCACUUUCUGUAUUGAAUUACUGAAGUAAAUGAACCUUUUAUAAUGUAUUCAAAUGGAUCUGUAUGUCAGGUUCUUGUUCAGACUGCGAUGCACCAGUAGAAAUAAUAAAACUGGAGUCAUGAUGAUAUCUUACUCACAAUAAUUCCUUUAAAAAAAGAAAAAGAAAACAUGAGAUACAUUCGGAUCUGUGUUUAAAUUAGAAAAAUAUAUGUCUUUUAUUACAUUUAAAAAGUUACAGUGAAUGCAUGCCAUGCAUGUUGGCACAAUACGGCUCCAGGAGAUUUUUGUUUAAAGCUGGUUGCAAAACAACAACAAAAACCUACAAAAAAAAGAAAUAAAAAAAAAUCAAGGUACACAUUGCAUUACAAGCAUAAGAAAGUGACAUUUGAAUAUUACAAAAUUAGAAUGUAUAUACAUUAGAAUUUUCAUAUAAAUUAAUUUACAAUGCCAAAACAAAAUAGUGUUACUUUACACAAAUAAUGCACAUGACGUUUAUGACAACUGACAGGAGCUUUUUUUUUCCAGGAUCGUCCACUUUAAAGUCCCUGCAGUGCACAAAAGUUCAAAUAAAAAAAUUAAAUCCAUGACAUUUCAAAGAGAAUGCCAGACGUAAGUCUUGUGACUGAAGGGGGAAAAAAGCUUCAUGUAGUCUUCUGUCUCCUGCAAAUAAGCAAAAGUUUAUUCAAUUAACUUUGCAUAAAUGACAGAUCAUUUCUAGAUCAAUGCGGAUCGUCUCUAACAGUCAGUCAACGCUUCAACAGUGCAAAGAUGUUCAAGAAUUUGUUCUGCUAUUUGCAGAUGCAUCAAUCGGCCACACAGUGGCGCUAAAGUACCACUUAUAGGAUCAGCACUGGUCGGGUUACGGCUGCGCACUGCAAGAUCUCUUUAGCAAUAUUCAUAAAAUAUUGGGAAAUAUCAGUGAAACUCAUCACUGAUUAUACAUACAUAAAAAAGUCAACCUUUCAAAAAAUAAAGUUGCAAUUUUUCUGAAAUUGUGGCAUUUGACAGACAAGAUAUUGAAAGUUAAUUUGAUUAACGAUAAUCUGUAUUCUUUUGUUUUCUUUGAUUAUAAAUGUUGGUGUAACACAGGUCAGUGAAUCUCGUCAGGAUUGCAAGCAUUAAUUACUUUCAUGUUACUUUCGUGAUUCUGUAAUUGAUAAACUAAUCUACUGUUUAUUUUUGGAUAAAUAUGUCCAUGUGGCUAGUAGUAGAGGGGUUGCAACUCUUUUAUGUUGUCACCCAAAUGCAUAAAAAGUUUGGAAAACACUUUAAAAUAAAAAAUAAUAAAUUACGUAAAUAAUACAUAUUCUUGGGCUGGGUGAAUUAGAUGUGAUGAUCGUGCUUCAAAAACGUUGUCAGAAGAAUUUUAACACUUUCACACCAUCCUAAAGUUAGAAGCCUUUGAUGCUGCACAGGCGAACGCGUCACAUGUGGGAGAGUGAUGAUGCUGGAAGACGUGCAGGGGAAAACGACAUACUGUAACCUGCAAGGGAGCUGCAGUCCCAUGCAGGCCCCAAACCAAUAAGCUGUGAACUCUUCAAUGCCAGCGCUAGGACACAACACUGGCAUUGUAGAGUGUGUGUGUCUGUGUGUGGGUGUGUGUGGUACCAGAUUUUCAUAUCCUUAUGGGAACAUAUUUCUGUCUACAAUUUGGGGUUAUAGGGACCAUUGCUCCUUGUGGGGACAUUUUCUUGGUCCCCAGGAGGCAAAUUGUUGUUUUUGGGUCAGUGGUUAGGUCUGUGAUGGGUAGGGUUAGGAUUAUGAUAAGGGUCAGGCUCUAGAAAUUAAUGGAAGUCAAUGUGAAGUCCCCACAAGUGAUAAAUACACAACUGGGGGAAAAACUAUCUUUGUUAAAGGACAGAAUUAAGCCGAAAAUUACUCACAAACAUGGAACGACAGAUGGGCAAACACACCCCCACACACAAACACACGCAAAGAUAGUUUUUGCCUAACUUUCAGCAACGGAUAAUAACUUCUAUCAGUUUUAGCUAGCAGUAAUCCAUUUUUUAUUAGUUUAUUUUCUGCUUUUACUUUUUCCCCAACUAGUCUGGGUCUCAUAAUUUGGUUUCAUCAACAUUCUUUUCCUUUUUUUUUUCUUUUCAUGUUAAUAUUUGACGCUGCAGUCUCGAGGAAGGACGCCCACCCUAAAGCCUUGCCCCACCCUGAAAACUUUCUGAACGUCAUUCUAACGCCUUAAAAUGGCCUGCCUGAUACUUAACACCGUAAAAUGACACCAGAAAAGCUUAAAGGCACAGACAUGACACGCGCUAUGUGCCAAAAAUGGCACGCUUAUUUAUAUGCGCUGUCAUGAUGUCAUGUAGUUUUUCUAACAAUAACCCCACUGUGUGGGAAAAGGGGAGAAGUUACUCAAGCGAGAACGGGUGUGUUUUUAAAAAAAACUCGAGUACAAUCAUUUUAAAUGCAGAAUGUGAGGUGUGAGGUUGAAGAAUCGCCACAUUUAAAAAUUAAGUUGGUCUCUUCUGGUCAGUCAAGCUUUUAUGCAUAAGGGAGAAAAACACAACAUUCUGAGUCGCAAUACUUGCUUUUGUGUUUAUGUAUUUAUUUAUCUAUUUAUUUAAACCAGUAUUCUACUUUUAUUUUUUAAAAGUACUUCUUUCUAAAUCUCUUUAACUCAUUCAUGGCCCCGCCCUUAAAUCACAAAUAUUUAGGCCAAAAAUUACAAUUACAGUAAUUAUUGUUACUUUUUUUUUUUUUCAAAAUCAUGGAGAUGCACCAAUAAAAGGGUGUGGUUUCACAUCUGCAAUAUGCUUCAAAACUUUAAUUUUUUUGUUAUAUAUUUGUAAUUGACAACAUGCACUAGUAGGCUGUCUAAAAAAUAUUGAGGAUGUCAGAAGGUAAAAUAAUCUGGUCAACAAUCGCAUGCAGAUUACCGCCUCUGAACCUGGAAGCAGAUGUGCUAAGGCAGCAGAAGGACAUGCUACGCUUGUUUCCUGUCAGCUGUCAACACGGUAACCGAGGCAACAGUUUCCACAUGCUCAGGACAAUGGGAAAACAACAGAUUGGAGAAACAUUGCCUGGUCUGGUUUCGGCUGCAGCAAUCAAGGCGAUUGGGUCAGAAUUUGGCAUAAACAGCACGAAAGUAACUCUCCAUAAUGCCUUAGGUCAGCGGUUCGGGCUGCUGCUGGUGGCAAAAUGUUGUGGCCAAUAUUUUCAGGGCACCCUGAAAAUACGCUAUUAGUACAAACUGAGAAUAAUUUAAAGGCCACAGUCUACCUCAGUAUUAUUACGGAGUUCACUGUGUAUCCACUGGCCUCCAGAUACACCAGGUAACAUCUCUGAGAUGUCCAGCUGCAAAAUCUGCAGCCACUCAUGGAUGUCCUCAUAUCAAUAAGGACCAAAAUCUAUGAGGAAUGUUUUCAACAUCUUGUUGAAUCUCUACCA